rnacentral:rRNA from 1 species
UACGUAGGGGGCAAGCGUUGUCCGGAAUCAUUGGGCGUAAAGAGCACGCAGGCGGUUUGGCAAGUCGGAUGUGAAAACCCGAAGCUCAACUUCGGGCCUGCAUCCGAAACUGCCCGACUAGAGGUAGGUAGGGGAGAUCGGAAUUCCUGGUGUAGCGGUGAAAUGCGCAGAUAUCAGGAGGAACACCGGUGGCGAAGGCGGAUCUCUGGGCCUUACCUGACGCUCAGGUGCGAAAGCUAGGGGAGCGAACAGG